rnacentral:lncRNA from 8 species
AAAAUGACAGAGUGAAGAUUAUAAUUAUCCAUCCAAAACUGAUCAAGACCAGAGCUGUUUCCCCAUGAAUAAUGCCAGACUAUCCAGAAGUUCACCUGGGCAGUCCCAAAAAAGGCAGAAAAGCCGGUCUUGUUCUCCCUCUACCCCAGCCCAGGAUGAAUUUAACGGGGACACACGUAGACGGGGGCAAUCCAGGGAUUCAGCUGGCCGUUCUAGAUGCUCUCCUUCCCCAUCUCACUUCACACACGAAUUAUCCAGGGCUUCUACUAGUCAGUCCCACCUCCAGAGCAGAGAGCACAGACGGUUUCCAUAUCCAUCCUGUUACUCUACCAGACAAGAUUCAUCCAGGACUUCUAUUUGCCAGUCCCAACGGAGCCAAGAGCAUCUCAGCUCUCACCCUCCCAUUCCCUCCGCUCGACCAGAGCUGUUUCCCAUGAACAAUGCCAAAGUGUGUCCAAUCUAA